UGGUCUGCCUGUCUGUUUUUGUGCCAAUACGAAGCUAUUUUCAUUACUAUAGCUCUAUAGUCAGUAACGGUGAUGGCUCCAGAAGAUCCUUUAUUGUACAUGGUUGUCUUGACUACCCUGGGUUUUUUUCCAUAUAAAGUUGAGUAUUGUUCAUUAAUUCACCAUUGAAUUAAACUCCCUGGAAGUCUGAGUGGGGAAAGGGAUGAGAAGUUAGAACAAAUGAGGGACAGCACUGAGGAUGUUUGAAAAGGCUAAAAGGAAAAAUAUGAGAUCAAAUAUAUAUGCAUAUAUUCAUACAAAUGUGUACAGGGAAUUAUCCCAGAAGCCAUCCAUAUAAGUAUGCUGUGUAAGCUAAGCAGUGUUCUCUCAGGAAGCCAUGACACACAGCACCUGUGAUUAACAGUCAUUCUGUCUUCCUAGGUACUCAGAAUCCCCCAGUUAUUAACGAGAUUUUUUUUAGAGAGGAAGAGUUCGAACCUCAUAAUGAGUCAUUAAUGUUGGCAGUAAUCACCAUGCCUUUUCAAUGAUGAGGAAGGAAAAUAAAGACAUGUGCCUCCAUGUGACAUGAUGUUACCCUUAUAAUGUCUCUGUUUCCAUAAUUUCAGGGAGCCUGGGAAGAAUACGAAAGUUAUUUUCCUAGUGGUUUACAUGUUUCAGAGUCUAAACCUACGCCCACUUCUACAUUGGAAGGCAGUAAUGCUUUUGAGGUACAGGACUGGGAGCUGCGGAAAAUUUCAAGUACCCUCUUUCCGGUGGUGAAUGUAUUGUACGUAGCCCCACCUAAAUCUUCAGAUAAAGAAACUGUUAAAAGGAAGAGGAGGAGGAGGAGGAGGCGCUACUAUUGAUAAAAGCAUCCAGCGUCGCCCCAGCUCAAAAUAUCUUUUAUAAAUGGUGACCAUCAAUAGCUGGAGGCUGAUAAGUAUUAACCAAUUAUUAUAAAGACCCCAUGAUCCCAGAACCUACUUUUUCCACGACAUAGAAUCCAGGACAACAGCUUUAUCACCUGUUAAACCGCUGAAAGUGGAGUCAGGCAUCUCCCAAGCCUUCUGGAAAGAACUCACCGGCUUCAUCUGCUUGGGCUGCCCCACAGACCCAGUCACCAUAAGCUGUGGCCACAGCUUCUGCCGGGCCUGCCUCCACCUUUCCUGGAAAGACAUCAAAGUUACUGUCCAUUGCCCUAUGUGUAGGACACCAUGCCAGGAAAAGGACUCCAAAACCAACAUUUUCCUGAAGAAGGUGGUGUCCAUUGCCUUGCCAAACAAGCCUAGCUCUUGAAGUCCUUGAGCUUCAAGAGCAUGAGUACAUGACCCACAAGGAUAUCAAGCAGAUUUCCUGUGGGGAGAACAGGAUCUACCUCUGUGAACGCUGCUCUGUCUCCCAUGAGCACAGUGUUCACACACAGCCCUAUUGGAGCAGCUCCUGAGGAGUGAGUCAGUGCAGUUGAGCAUGCUCCAGAUUACAAAACCAGAACUCAGUGCCCUACCCAUCACCAAACUGGCACAAUAGUGCAACUGCUAACAAGUGCACAUUUUCUUUGAAGAUAUAAUCAUGCUUCAAUACAAGAUGAACUUUUGUCAUGUGAAGAGUCAGCUUCAACUUUACCAUUAGGACCCAUCUGUGGAUCCUAUUGGAUGCUAUGUGGCCUUCGGGACUGGGCUGUACAAGUCUGUACAGAUUUCUGAUCCAGAAGGAGAAAACAACUGGUUGAAUCUGAGGAUGUGUUUCUUCUCACAUCUUCUUCUCUAAUCAUUACAGUCUCCUCACCACAUGCCCCGUAAUCCAUCUCUACAUAGAGAAGCCACUGGGACGGGUUGGUGUGCUCCUUGAUUGUAGUGAUAGAUGGUGUUGCCCAGAGUUCCUGGAUAUACAAGUAUCCUCCUGGCACCUUAAAUUAUUCUGUCAAGCCUUUCUUCUCAACCAAAUACACAUAAUCACAGGAAAAUAUAAUCCUAAUCUUGUACUUAAGUGGUUUUUGUUAAGUAUGUGCUUUGUAUUGCUUUUAUUGCUAGUAAAUAAUAAAUACUAUUGAAUAUAAA